GACAUGUGCCCGAAAAUUAAGGACCACUUUGAUAGAGUGACCAAUGGGAGCGCAAACCUCUCCAUGUCC
rnacentral:tRNA from 1 species